GGGAGAGGGGGCAGGUGUGCGGGAGCGGGCGCUUGUGCGGUGCGAGGUACCGCCGACCGCGGAGCGAGGGCGUUUUGGGGUUCUUUUAACUACCCCCUUUAUUUUCCACCCUUUCACCUUCCGCACUCCGCCUCCCCUUUCCUCAUUUUAUCCCCGUUUCCCCGUCGUAUUGCAGGCUUUUAGAUGGAUCUGUCCUCUUUAAAUUGCUUUCUUUGAUGUCACGCAUUUUUCCCCCUUGCAGUAGCUUAUCGGAAGGUGCGCUGCAUUAAGCUAAAUCCGUGCCUGGUAUUACAUCAUGUGCCCUCAACCGAGUGCGGGAGAUGAUGGUCAUCUGAAAUCGAAGUGCUGGCUUCUUAGGUAUUGUUUUGGGAAUCAAACACUGAAUAAACUCAGGAAUAUUGAAAUCAAGCACCGUGGCUUCAGGAGAUGUUCAGCUGUCAAUAUAGAAAGAUUAAUUAAAUUUUUUCUGUGGAAGGAGAAAGGAGGGUCCCUGUGGUCAGUGCACCUUUUGGCUCUGGAGACAGCUAAAUCUGCUUAUGUUUGA
rnacentral:lncRNA from 1 species